UACGUAGGGGGCUAGCGUUGUCCGGAAUCAUUGGGCGUAAAGAGCGUGUAGGCGGCCCGGUAAGUCCGCUGUAAAAGUCAAAGGCUCAACCUUUGAAAUGUCAGUGGAUACUGCCCGGGCUAGAGUCCGGAAGAGGCGAGUGGAACUCCUGGUGUAGCGGUGGAAUGCGCAGAUAUCAGGAAGAACACCAACGGCGAAGGCAGCUCGCUAGGACGGUACUGACGCUGAGACGCGAAAGCGUGGGGAGCGAACAGG
rnacentral:rRNA from 1 species